rnacentral:rRNA from 1 species
AACUAACGCUGGCGGCGUGCCUAACACAUGCAAGUCGCACGAGAAAGUUGGCUUCGGCCGAUGAGUACAGUGGCGCACGGGUGAGUAACGCGUGGAUAAUCUGCCCUUUAGUUGGGAAUAACGUACCGAAAGGUGCGCUAAUACCGAAUAAUACUGCAUAACUACUGUUGUGUAGUCAAAGAAGGCCUCUGUUUACAAGCUUUUGCUGAAGGAUGAGUCCGCGUACCAUUAGCUAGUUGGUAGGGUAAUGGCCUACCAAGGCGACGAUGGUUAGCUGGUCUGAGAGGAUGAUCAGCCACACUGGAACUGAGACACGGUCCAGACUCCUACGGGAGGCAG